ACGGCGCAUGAGCAUCUGAAACUCGUCUGCCGGGGCCCAGGGCUCCGCUGGGUCAUGGUGGAAGGGCCCUGAGAGGCUCAGGCCAGCAUACUCUGCACCUGUGGAUCUCCUAGCUGUCAUUAUUUUCUCUGCUGUCUGUUCUUACCUGAAACCAUCAACACAAACAGAACUUUUACUGCAAAAUAUACCACAACAUGCAAGGCAGGGGCGCCCAAGAGUCAGCUUGGGCGUUGUCUGAGGGGUUCCGGAGGCUCUCAGCUGUGCCGGGUGACCCUUUAGAUGCAGCUCAUGGAGAGGUCUGGGGGUGCUAGGGGAGGGACCAGGGAGGCCAGGGCACCAAGGGGGCCCACGGCUAAUUACCCGCCAGUCUGGAAGCUUUGCAAUGCAUAACAGUCUCUGCGGCCUUCCUGGAACGCGGUGGGGAACUUCAGCACGGAUGUUAAUCGAGCUUCUGUCCCCUUCACUCCCUGACCCCUUCCCGUCUAAGAGGUCUUCCAAGCAACUGAAUUGAUCCAGGAGCUCUGCACAGACAUAGAAGGUGCAAAUAUGAAUGAACACGCCCUCACCUGCACGCACAGGAACCUCCAUAUACCGUUAUCCUCCAUAUAACCUCCAUAUACCAUGAUCCAUAUACCGUUAUCCCAAGUGGCUGCACCCUUUUGUGUCCCAGCCAGCAGUGCACAAGGGUCACGAUUUCUCCAAAUCCUCACCAACACAAGUUAUUUUCUGGUUUGUGAUUGUGGACAUCCUAACAGCACACAGAAGAAAGAGUAGCUGCAGCGCCCAGACUCAAUUAUUGAGCACAGGUCGCAGCCCCUGUGACACCUGGCCCCUGAACACCUCAGCAGGCGUCGUUCUGAGACUUUGAACCUUGGCCUGUGGGUUCGUUCCAAACAGGGAUGCGUCUCAGGUCCCGUGGACCAGGCUGGAGCAUCACUGCCGGGUAGCACUGCUGUUCUUGACCCGGUUGGAGUUUCUGCACAAGCAGCUUCCAAUUUUCUAAUAAACUGUAAACUCUCACUGGUACCUUGCCUUGGGUGGUCCCCAACAGAUCGGAGCGGUGCAACUCAUGCUAUCACGUCCCCCCUCCCCACCCCCCAAGAAACUUCCGAAGGACUGCAUCUGGCGUUCAGCAUCUUUACGUUUGUUCUUCUUGUAAAUAUGUUCUGCAGUGAAAUGAAGGUUAGGCUUUCUGAUCACGUGAUCCUUCCCGAUCCCGCGGGCAUCCGUCCUUUCUGGAUUAGUGACAUGUAGGCAUUUCCAUGUUCUCCUGGAGCUGAAUCAUGGCAGCUGGAUUCUUGCUGUGUGUGGCUGGCCCAGCUCCCAGGGCCCGGCAUACUCCGUGGCCAAGUCUGUGAAAGCCACGCAGGAACCUGCUAAAGAUAACGAAAACCAGCAGUGGCAGUUCCGCCUUUCGGUGGAAGGGUCCUCACGGGGCUCAUCCUCAGGGUUAGGGGCAAACAAGGCGCAUUUCGUUCUCAGUAGCUGAGCCAGGGCUGCUGAAUGUUCUGUCUUUCUCAUGGGCGGUGUCCUUUGGGUUUGAGUCACGAUUAGGGAUCUGCUCAGAUGACCAGGUCUAUAGGUCUGCAGUGGUGGCUGCACAUUAGAACCACCUGGGAGCCUCUAACGAUUUCCCCAUACCUGGGCUCUAGCCCCUACCAAAGAAAUCCGAAUCUCUGGGCAUCCGUGCUUUUUACAGAAACUCCCCAGGUGACACCAGCGAGCAGACAUGCUUGAGAAUCAGCUUCUAAACUUGAAUGAACAUGCAAAUCACCAGGGCAUCCUACUAAAGAUGCAAAUUCUGAAGAGCAGGUCUGUGAGGGGCCUGAGAUCCUGCAUUUCUGACCUGCUCUCCAGUGACGCAAUUCUGCUGGUCCACACUUUGAAUAGCGAGUCUGAAACAGGGCUUGGCGAAGCGUGGCUCAGAGGCCAGAUGCUUUAUUAUUUUUUUUUUUUUUUUUGGCGGUACGCGGGCCUCUCACUGCUGUGGCCUCUCCCGUCGUGGAGCACAGGCUCCGGACACGCAGGCUCAGCGGCCAUGGCUCACGGGCCCAGCCGCUCCGUGGCAUGUGGGAUCUUCCCAGACCGGAGCACGAACCCGUGUCCCCUGCAUCGGCAGGCAGACUCUCAACCACUGCGCCACCAGGGAAGCCCCAGAUGCUUUUUAAAAAAAAUUUUUUUGGCUGCAUCAGGUCUUUGUUGUGGCACGUGGGAUCUUCCUUGCGGUCCACGGGGUUUUUUGUAAUGGCGCGCAGGCUUCUCUCUAGCUGUGGCGUGCAGGUUUUUUCUCUCUAGUUGUGGCGCGCAGGCUCCAGGGCACGUGGGCUCUGUAAUUUGCAGCACCCGGGCUCUCUCGUUGAGGCUCAUGGGCUUAGUUGCCCCACCGCAUGUGGGAUCUUAGUUCCCUGACGAGGGAUCGAACCCACGCAUCCCCUGCAUUGUGAGGCAGGUUCUUUACCACUUUACCAUCUGAGGGACCACCAGGGAAGUCCCUCAGAUGCCUAAUUUUGUAAAUAGUUUUACUGGGGCACAGCCAUGCCCAGCUGGGUAGUUAUAACAGACCGUAUUACCUGAAAGCCUAAAAUAUCUACUGGCUGGCUCUCUACAGAAAAAACAUGCCAACCCCUGGUUUAAAGCAUGCUAAUUAAUGCUGGUAUAUCUGUUAUGAACUCAAUGACCCAGGCUGUAGGUCAUGAUCGUUAUAAGAUGAUGGUGACUCAGAGGGUCUCCCUCCCUCAGAGGGGCAAGGUACAUUUUUAAGUCGCAGUAAUUAUUAGAUCGUCUGACCUCCUUUUGAACCUUUCAGAUUUGGUUUACAAUUGUGGAAGUGAAAAUUGUUUUUUGUGCAGAGAAUGUACUAAAAAAAAAAUAAAGAGCGAGAGGAAGGAUAAUUUAAACUCCUCUGAAAGUUCUUUGGCUAAUGUCUUAGCUGUGCAGUCUAUCGUCCAUAAAAUUCUAAUAAAUUAUUGUCACUUAAAAGUUUUCUACCAUUUAAAAAUUAUACAAGUAAUAUAUGUUUGUUGAGAAAAUAUGAACAUAUGGUUCUUACAAUCUGAACAUCCAGAAAUAACCACUAAAAUGUUUGAAUAUACUCUUCAGGCCAUUUCUGUACAUACAUAUACCACAUGCCACAGUGUAAACAGUCUCUGGUGUCAGUUUUCUCAUCUCUAAAGUGUGGAGAAUAAUAAUACUUCUCCAGGGGAGUGUUGAUAGGAUUAAAUGAGAUCAUGUGUGUGAAGUGCUGAGCUCUCGUUAAUAGCUCAGUAAACGUUAAGUUUAGAAAUGGCGUUCUAUUGUUUCAUAAACUACCCCCAGUGUUUGGGGGCCAGUCAUAAAAUCGGUACAUGCCACUUUCAUCAUUCUCUUCUGGAGAGAACCUGGUCUCAAGACCACACACCUUCCUCCAAGGGAUGCCGGGACAUGCAGUGCAGCUGGGCAGGCACCCAGACUGAAACCAGGACCUCGGGGUGUGGGUGAGGGAUUUAGGUGGAAAGCUAAUCUCUGCCACAAUAGACUUUACCCCAUUUUUCUAUGAGAGUGUUCAUCUUUUGCUAUUCGAUGCAUGUGAGUUCUUUAUAAAUUAAUGAUAGGAAUUUUUGACACAUAUAUUGCAAAAUUUUUCUU